UGUAGACCAGGCUAGCCUCGAACUCAGAAAUCCACCUGCCUCUGCCUCCCAAGUGCUGGGAUUAAAGGCUUGCGCCACCACCGCCCGGCAACCUCACACUCCUAAUUCACACUUCUAGACACUCAGAUCUGCUUAGUUGUCACAGAUAUCUCGUUUCAGAAAGCUGGACUGAACUUGAUGUCUUUGUCCACAGACCUGUGUCACCAUCUGCCAUUCCAGCCUCAAUAUGUCCCGUCUCCAUUCACCUGGGCACCAAGCUGGGACCCUAGAUUUCGUUCUGAGCUCUUAAAGCCCCAGCUUCACCUUCUUUAGCAUCUUGUACCUGUCUAGACUAUUUCAUCCCUCACUUAGAUAUGUGAGAGGUACAUAUUAACUCCACACUUAAUAAGCUGGGUGUGGUGGCUGAUGCCUAUAGUUCUGGCACUUGAGGGGGCUGAAGUAGGAAGAUUGCUUUGAGCUUAAGUCCAACCUAGGCUACAUGGGAAUAUCUCCAAAAAAUUUUUUUGAAAUAAACCUAAGUGAAUAAAUAAUACAUUCAUGAACAAAUUCAAGGAUCAUUCUAGUAGCUUCAUAGUUCCCUUCCCUCUUCUAAUCUUAACUAAUCAGUGCAUUCUCUCCUCUCAGCAUAUAAAGUCUUCAAAAGAAGGCAGACCUUGCCAGAUGGUGUGAAGGCCUCGAUGUCUAGCACUUGGAGGAAAUGCUAUUCUCCACUCCCACGCUCCCAGACUUUAGCUUGAGAGUGUGCAGCAGCACAGCAGAGGCCUUGAGAAAUCCUGCUGAGUAAAGAAGCCAGCUUAAAACACAGAUGCCUAAACCUCCGCAGUUCUGCAACCUCCGUACUGCACCUGAGCUACUAGGAUCUGCUUGGGACUCCAGAGACUAUUCCAUGGUGUUCUAAGAAUAUAUUUAAUCUUUUUGUUUUGUUUG